AAGACCAAUGGAAUUUAGGCAGCUUUGAAAAAAAUGGAUCAAGCCCAGGCCACGCUGGAUUUUUGGUAGUAGGAAGAAGUCCCUGUAGCCGCUGGGUCUUCACCUGUGCAUGAAGAAAGAGGCUGGUACCUGGAUUCCUAAAAGGACAUGUACACCAGACGAACCAUCCUCAAAACCCCAGACCCCAAAUAAAGACAAAACUCAUGCUCCUUUCCUUUCUGAGUCUCCUGGAUGCUUCAUCUGUAUCUGUUCUCUUUAUGUCUUUAAUGAACGCUGCUCUCACUCUCUGCUGGCUAAGGUUUGGUUUUCAUCCUUCAUGAAGCUAAGGAUCCUCUUGGCUGGUCCUGCAGGACCCUCUUGGGCCCCCCCAGACCCCCCCCCUCCUGGCAUCAGACUCACCUACUGAAAUGUAUUGCAUGAGAUAAUGACACUAACUCUCUGAUUUCCUUCCUUUGACUGCUCUAUUCUUGACAAGCCUUGUAUCCACAGAACCAGUGAAUGGGAAGCAAUGGUUCUUCUAGCCUAAAGUUUGUGAAAUAGGGUUUCACAAGCUGUAUUUGGUCACCACAUAAGCUUUGGUUAUUUUGGGCAGUACUAGCUGGUUAAAAACAAAAACCAACUUAGUUUACAACAUUCGAAAUAAGAUACUUGACAUAAAAAUCCAGGUUAUCGUGACACUUUUAAAAUAAAACUCUCUUCUAAUGAUGACGUGAGCCCUGC
rnacentral:lncRNA from 1 species